GAUGAACGCUGGCGGCGUGCCUAAUACAUGCAAGUCGAGCGAACGGACGAGAAGCUUGCUUCUCUGAUGUUAGCGGCGGACGGGUGAGUAACACGUGGAUAACCUACCUAUAAGACUGGGAUAACUUCGGGAAACCGGAGCUAAUACCGGAUAAUAUUUUGAACCGCAUGGUUCAAAAGUGAAAGACGGUCUUGCUGUCACUUAUAGAUGGAUCCGCGCUGCAUUAGCUAGUUGGUAAGGUAACGGCUUACCAAGGCAACGAUGCAUAGCCGACCUGAGAGGGUGAUCGGCCACACUGGAACUGAGACACGGUCCAGACUCCUACGGGAGGCAGCAGUAGGGAAUCUUCCGCAAUGGGCGAAAGCCUGACGGAGCAACGCCGCGUGAGUGAUGAAGGUCUUCGGAUCGUAAAACUCUGUUAUUAGGGAAGAACAUAUGUGUAAGUAACUGUGCACAUCUUGACGGUACCUAAUCAGAAAGCCACGGCUAACUACGUG
rnacentral:rRNA from 1 species